rnacentral:rRNA from 1 species
ACCUCUUCACUCCUACGGGAGGCAGCAGCAAGGGAUUUUCCCCAAUGGGCGCAAGCCUGAGGGAGCAACGCCGCGUGGGGGAGGACGCCCUUCGGGGUGUAACCCCUUUUGGGGGGGACGAAGCACUGACGGUACCCCCCGAAGAAGGCCCGGCUAACUACGUGCCAGCAGCCGCGGUAAUACGUAGGGGCCGAGCGUUGUCCGGAGUUACUGGGCGUAAAGCGCGCGCAGGCGGUGCGUUAAGCCUGCCGUGAAAGCCCCCGGCUCAACCGGGGAGGGUCGGCGGGGACUGGCGCACUUGAGGACGGCAGGGGUCGGUGGAAUCCCCGGUGUAGUGGUGAAAUGCGUAGAGAUCGGGGGGAACACCCGUGGCGAAGGCGGCCGACUGGGCCGGACCUGACGCUGAGGCGCGAAGGCGUGGGGAGCGAACGGGAUUAGAUACCCCGGUAGUCCACGCAGUAAACGAUGCCGACUGGGCGUGGGGGGACUUGACCCCCUCCGUGCCGGAGCCAACGCGGGAAGUCGGCCGCCUGGGGAGUACGGCCGCAAGGCUA